rnacentral:rRNA from 1 species
GAUGAACGCUGGCGGCGUGCCUAAUACAUGCCAGUCGAGCGAACGGACGAGAAGCUUGCUUUUCUGAUGUUAGCGGCGGACGGGUGAGUAACACGUGGAUAACCUACCUAUAAGACUGGGAUAACUUCGGGAAACCGGAGCUAAUACCGGAUAAUAUUUUGAACCGCAUGGUUCAAAAGUGAAAGACGGUCUUGCUGUCACUUAUAGAUGGAUCCGCGCUGCAUUAGCUAGUUGGUAAGGUAACGGCUUACCAAGGCAACGAUGCAUAGCCGACCUGAGCGGGUGAUCGGCCACACUGGAACUGAGACACGGUCGAGACUCCUACGGGAGGCAGCAGUAGGGAAUCUUCCGCAAUGGGCGAAAGCCUGACGGAGCAACGCCGCGUGAGUGAUGAAGGUCUUAGGAUCGUAAAACUCUGUUAUUAGGGAAGAACAUAUGUGUAAGUAACUGUGCACAUCUUGACGGUACCUAAUCAGAAAGCCACGGCUAACUACGUG